rnacentral:tRNA from 1 species
ACGGCGGUGGCAGACAAGCAAUGCACGGGUCUCCAAAACCCGAGGAUGUGGGGGCAGUACCUACCCGCCGUGCCA